UAUUUCAAGACCAAACUGAAUCUGAUAUAGAUGGCGCUAUAUCUCUGAAUGCUUUCACUGAUUGUUAUGGGUGGAGCUUUGAAGGAUCUCACAAAAAUCUCACAAUUCUGUUUGCAGUUUUUCAUUUGUUGUUCAAGAUGAUGCUCCUGUGCUGUCUGCUUGUGUUUUCAGUAACUCAAUAUACAUUUGCGCAGUCAAUAAGACCAUUGCAGAACAAUGUGCAUGUAACUGAGGGGAAGCCGGUCACUCUCUCAUGUAAAUAUAAUGGCAGUGCAAACAGUCUGCAUUGGUAUCGACAGUAUCCUGGAUCCAGACCUGAAUUUGUGCUCCUCGUCCUGGAGUCAGCCAAGAAACAUGUGACAUAUGCAGAUCCCCGUAUCCCUGGAAUGGAUGGACAAAUGAGUAUGAGUGAUAAAAGUGUGUAUCUGGAGAUCUCUUCUGCUGCAGUAUCAGACUCUGCUGUGUAUUACUGCGCCCUGCAGCCCACAGUGACAGGAAACACAUCAUCACUGUACAAAAACCUAGAAGGAGAAAGAACAUAAUAUCUGUCUUUUGUCAUAGACUCA